rnacentral:rRNA from 1 species
GACGAACGCUGGCGGCGUGCCUAAUACAUGCAAGUCGAACGCAGUGGGGACGGGUGAGUAACACGUGGGUAACCUCCCAUCAGAGGGGAUAACCCUUGGAUACAGGUGCUAAACCGGUAUUGAUGGAUGGUGUCGCUGUGCAUUAGCUAGUUGGUGGGGUAACGGCCAACCAAGGCGACGAUGCAUAGCCGACCUGAGAGGGUGAUCGGCCAAACUGGGACUGAGACACGGCCCAGACUCCUACGGGAGGCAGCAGUAGGGAAUCUUCGGCAAUGGGCGAAAGUCUGACCGAGCAACGCCGCGUGAAUGAAGAAGGUUUUCGGAUCGUAAAGCUCUGUUGUUAGGGAAGCGGUAUCUAACGAGAAAGCCACGGCUAACUACGUGCCAGCAGCCGCGGUAAUAC